AUUGAACGCUGGCGGCAUGCCUUACACAUGCAAGUCGAACGGCAGCACGGGUGCUUGCACCUGGUGGCGAGUGGCGAACGGGUGAGUAAUAUAUCGGAACAUACCCAAAGGUACGGAAUAGCCUCGGGAAACUGAGAGUAAUACCGUAUGUGCCCUUCGGGGGAAAGAUUUAUCGCCUUUGGAUUGGCCCGCGUUGGAUUAGGUAGUUGGUGGGGGUAAUGGCCUACCAAGCCGACGAUCCAUAGCUGGUUUGAGAGGAUGAUCAGCCACACUGGGACUGAGACACGGCCCAGACUCCUACGGGAGGCAGCAGUGGGGAAUCUUAGACAAUGGGGGAAACCCUGAUCUAGCCAUGCCGCGUGAUCGAUGAAGGCCUUAGGGUUGUAAAGAUCUUUCAGAUGGGAAGAUAAUGACGGUACCAUCAGAAGAAGCCCCGGCUAACUCCGUG
rnacentral:rRNA from 1 species